CGAAAGAUUGAUCUAGUUACUUAUUAGGAUGAUAUUAAAAAUAAUAUUUAUUUUAUAAAUAUAAAAAAAUUAAUAAAUUGAUUAAAAAUAAAAUCCAUAUAUAAUAAAAAUAAUGAUAUUAAUUAUCUUAAUAAUAAAUAAUAAAGAAAUAUUAAAUUUAAUAAUUAAUUUUAUUAAAUAAGAUAUUUAUAAUAGUCUUAACUAAUAAUUGUGCCAGCAGUUGCGGUCAUACAAUGAAGGCUAGCGUUAAUCAUAAUGGUUUAAAGAAUCCGUAGAAUUAUCAAUAUCAUAAAUGAUAGAUUAGAGUUAAUAAAUUUAAUUAAAGAAUUAUAAUAGUAAGGAUGAAAUAAUAAUAAUAAUUAUAAGACUGGUAUAUGUGAAAAUAUUAAUUAAUAAUUAACUGACAUUGAGGGAUGAAGACUAAAGUAGCAAAACAGAUUCGAUACCUGUGUAGUUUUAGUAGUAAACUAUGAAUACCAUAUUUAUUUAAUAAUUAAAUAAAUAUAUAUGAAAAUGUAAGUAUUCCACCUGAAGAGUAUAUUAGCAAUAAUGAAACUCAAGACAAUAGACGGUUACAGACUUAAGUAGUGGAGUAC
rnacentral:rRNA from 1 species